ensembl:snoRNA
GCAGGCUCACUCUGUUCCUGGCUGCUCGCUCCAGCCUGGGACUUUUUUCGCCUGCUAUAGGAACAUGCAGAAUGUUCACUUUUCCACGCUUACCAACAUUAAGCGGUGGGUAAUGUGUUCUGCAACAUCAGC